GCAUAAUCAUUUGCCCCCUAAUUAGGGGCUAGCAUGAAUGGACAAACGAGAUUAUGACUGUCUCCUUUAUACCCAUAAAAAUUAAUCUACAGGUGAAGAAGCCUGUUUUUAUAUAAAAGACAAGAAGACCCUGCUGAGCUUUAAUUAUCUAUAAAAUACAUCAACAUUCCUAUCAAAUAAUCCCCCUUAUAAAUAAUUUUUGUUGGGGCGACAAUGGAGCACACAAACCCUCCACCAUACUUAAAACACCAAGUUUCACAAAAGAUCCUCCUAAAGAUACUAGGCACUAGCUACCUUAGGGAUAACAGGCU
rnacentral:rRNA from 1 species